UUCCGUAUUUAGAAUUUCACGUCAGUUUUGUUAAAUGCCUUGGGAUUGUAACCCUGGCAACAUCGAAGAGGAGGCACCGAGGGAGAAUGAUUCGGCCAUUUUGGGACUUGGAUUUUCUUCCCCGACCUAGCCGGGCUCGGCUUUAUAUUAAAUAAUUGGGACAACGUUCUCAUCUUUGGUAAGUAAUCUUACAUUCGUUUGUGAAGACCGUGAAAUUCGGAAUCUGUUGUUGGAUUAUGCGAUUAUUGACGUGAACCGUUUAUUUCAGCCUGCCCUCAGGUGUACCUUGAGGUUAACCCGUUUCCCGAAAGGGCGAACCAGGAGCGUCCUGGGCACUUCGGAGUUGAUAUUCGAUCACUCAUAAACCCCGGCAAGACGAUUUUCCUCCGACAGGAGGUGUCUACUAGGGGCGCGGCCUUUGGUAGGCCAGAUUCUGUGCCAGUCGACCUGUGCAGCUGGCCCCGCCAGAGUCGGAGCUAUUGGAACCUCCGGCCAUCUGGUCGAGAGAGAGCCGUCGACUGUCGCUACAGUGCAGCUAAGCCUUUCACUACUUUUUCCUAAACUGCGAUUUUGGACUAUUCACCUUUUAGUAUUAACUAUCCAAUAGCGCAAUCGACCAAGUAUCACCAACAAUAAUUAAAACCCGGUUAGAUAAAUAUAAAUUUAGUUUACUAUCAAUAAGUCGUUAAGUAGUGUUUAAGCUCCAAAGUGUAAACUUAACCAGGCCGGCAAUUAAAUUGUACCUGUCCACUA